GGGUGAGUCACCAACGGAGCUGCUGGAGAAAGAAGGCGCCGGGAGAUCAGAAUCCCACGGGCUCGGAUCACAGCUCAGCUUGGAAUCUUCCUGAGUUCUCCUUGGUUACUCAUCUUUUCCUUCUUGGCCCGGAGGAAGGGAUGCCCCGUCUUCACAAACAGAUGCCCUCCCACGGGCCCCUCCUUCUACUGGUCCCUGCCCACCCACUCUCCUGCCUCCCUUCGGUUCCUUCCAAACUUCCAAAUGCUGUGAUUUGGGGCAAGGAUCUGGGGGGGCUCAGGCCUGGCUUGCAAGGUGUCUGCUGGGGGGUUGCCUCAGAGCUUCUUGCAUUCUGCUGACCUGAAACACAUAGAUGGUCAGAUAUUUCUCCAGCAAAGAUGGAUUUACUCAAGAUCAACAGAGAAUUGCAGUUUGGGGUCUGCAUCCAUGCCUGGUGCCAGCAACCUCUCCGCGGUCACUCGGAUUGGAAACGCCACAGCUACGACCUCCUCUUUCUCUGUCACAUCCAAUCAAGUGCAAAGUCCUCCACAGCAUCCCAGUUCAGUGUCUCUCCAAGACCCGGCCCUGCCUUCCCUGGGGCCCUCAGCAGCCUUGGCCAGGUGCCUACAUCUCCUCUCCGAUUCCGCUGUGAUUCUUGCCCUUCCACAUUUCCGUGUGCCCACCGCACCGCUUCCCUGAUCAAAUCCCCUAUGGCACCCCACUGCCUGCAAAUACCCUAGAGCUUCUUAGAAGAAUAUAGGAAGCUCUCCAGGUU